GCGGAAAGGGGCAUGCUUGCAUCCGCCGACGACCGGCGCACGGGUGCGGAACGCGUAUAGAACCUGCCCCUGUCAGGGGAAUAGCCCAGAGAAAUUUGGAUUAAUGCCCCAUGGUACCUUUAGGACACAUGUUCUUAAGGUUAAAGAUUUAUCGGACAGGGAUGGCCAUGCGUACCAUUAGCUAGUUGGUAAGGUAACGGCUUACCAAGGCAACGAUGGUUAGGGGCCCUGAGAGGGGGAUCCCCCACACUGCUACUGAGACACGGACCAGACUCCUACGGGAGGCAGCAGUGAGGAAUAUUGGACAAUGGGCGGGAGCCUGAUCCAGCCAUGCCGCGUGCAGGAUGACGGCCCUAUGGGUUGUAAACUGCUUUUGUACGGGAAGAAACCUGUCCACGUGUGGACAGCUGACGGUACCGUAAGAAUAAGGACCGGCUAACUCCGUGCCAGCAGCCGCGGUAAUACGGAGGGUCCGAGCGUUAUCCGGAAUCAUUGGGUUUAAAGGGUCCGUAGGCGGGCCUAUAAGUCAGGGGUGAAAGGCCACGGCUCAACCGUGGGACUGCCCUUGAUACUGUAGGUCUUGAGUUAUGGUGGGGUUGCCGGAACAUGUGGUGUAGCGGUGAAAUGCAUAGAUAUCACAUAGAACACCG
rnacentral:rRNA from 1 species